rnacentral:rRNA from 1 species
GUUUGAUCCUGGCUCANGAUGAACGCUAGCGGCAGGCUUAAUACAUGCAAGUCGAGGGGCAGCACAGGGUAGCAAUACCUGGGUGGCGACCGGCAAACGGGUGCGGAACACGUACAGAACCUUCCUUCGAGCNGGGAAUAGCCCAGAGAAAUUUGGAUUAAUACCCCAUAGUAUAACGGAGUGGCAUCACUUUGUUAUUAAAGAUUUAUCACUUGAAGAUGGCUGUGCGUAUGAUUAGGUAGUUGGCGGGGUAACGGCCCACCAAGCCUACGAUCAUUAACUGGUGUGAGAGCACGACCAGUCACACGGGCACUGAGACACGGGCCCGACUCCUACGGGAGGCAGCAGUAAGGAAUAUUGGUCAAUGGACGGAAGUCUGAACCAGCCAUGCCGCGUGGAGGAUGAAGGUCCUCUGGAUUGUAAACUUCUUUUAUCUGGGACGAAAAAAGGGAAUUCUUUCUCGUCUGACGGUACCAGAUGAAUAAGCACCGGCUAACUCCGUGCCAGCACCGCGGUAAUACGGANGGGUGCAACGUUAUCCGGAUUCCUGGGUUUAAAGGGGUGCGUAGGGCGGGUAUGUAAGUCCGUGGUGAAUCUCCGAGCUUAACUCGGAAACUGCCAUGGGUACUGCGUAUCUUGAAUGUUGUGGAGGUGAGCGGAAUAUGUCAUGUAGCGGUGAAAUGCUUAGAUAUGACAUAGAACACCAAUUGCGAAGGCAGCUCACUACGCAAAUAUUGACGCUGAGGCACGAAAGCGUGGGGAUCAAACAGGAUUAGAUACCCUGGUAGUCCACGCCCUAAACGAUGAUUACUCGACAUACGUGAUACACAAUGUGUGUCUGAGCGAAAGCAUUAAGUAAUCCACCUGGAAGUACGACCGCAAGGUUGAAACUCAAAGGAAUUGACGGGGGUCCGCACAAGCGGCGGGAGCAUGUGGUUUAAUUCGAUGAUACGCGAGGAACCUUANGUGGGCUAGAAUGCUGGGAGACCGUGGGUGAAAGCUCACUUUGUAGCAAUACACUGCCAGUAAGUGCUGCAUGGGCUGUCGUCAGCUCGUGCCGUGAGGUGUUGGGUUAAGUCCCGCAACGAGCGCAACCCCUAUCAGUAGUUGCCAACAGGUUAAGCUGGGAACUCUACUGAAACUGCCGUCGUAAGACGCGAGGAAGGAGGGGAUGAUGUCAAGUCAUCAUGGCCUUUAUGCCCAGGGCUACACACGUGCUACAAUGGGGCGUACAAAGGGCUGCAACACAGCGAUGUGAAGCCAAUCCCAAAAAACGUCUCUCAGUUCAGAUUGGAGUCUGCAACUCGACUCCAUGAAGCUGGAAUCGCUAGUAAUCGUAGAUCAGCAAUGCUACGGUGAAUACGUUCCCGGACNUUGCACACNCCGCCCGUCAAGCCAUGGAAGCUGGGUGUACCUAAAGUCGGUAACCGCAAGGAGCCGCNUAGGGUAAAACUAGUGACUGGGGCUAAGUCGUAACAAGGUAACC